CCAUACAGGAGUAUGUACAUGUAUGAGCGCAUAAGAGGGGGGAGAGGGGGGCGUGAAGAGAGAAGGAAAGGAAGAGGGAGAGAAGGAGGCAAGGAGGGAGGAAGGGAAGGAAGGAGAGAGGGAGGAUGUGCAUUAUAUAACAGCUAUAGAGGUAAGAAGUCCCACGGGGUCUCACUGAACUAAAAUCAAAGCAGGUUCCACGAGGCUGCGGUUUUGUUUUUGUUUUUGUUUGUUUUUUAUGGAACUCUGAGGAGAAUCCAUUUCUACUCUUCCAGCUUCUGGAAGCCACUCACAUUUUCUGGCUCCAGCGCUCCUUCUUCCCUCUUUAAAUCCAACAGCUCCACAGAGUCCUCCUCCAGUCUCAUCUCUGUCCCUGACCACUGACUGAGAGGUUCUCUCCAUCCGGACUGGCCUGCCAGGAUGAAGGCGAGCAUUAUCCCCUCCAGGUUUGCCCCCGCCCCCAUCACACUCGAAGUUGUCUUUGCGAGAUAAGGUGUCCUGCCACACGCCUCAGAGUGGGAACGUCUAUCCCUCCAGGCCUUCCCCUUUCCUACUGCCUGGAAGGCCUUAACGCCAAAGCCAUUGCCUACAGCGAGAUUCUUACUUCCUUCUUCACAUUCAGCCUCUGUCGCAAGCUCAAGCUUCCGUCUCUAUGGCGACAGCUGACGCGGGAAGCAGGGCUGCAAAACUUGGACAGUACUCAGCACCUGCACCUGUGGGGUAGCCUGGGGUAGUCGGGGUUUCAAAGGUCCCAUGCGAGGACACUGCCCUCCCUCCCCACUCCACCCACACCCCUAGGACCUGCUCUGCGCUUCCCUGCCUCCAAGGUAACUGGGAUUCUCUGUGCCCCCUUGAGCUCUGACUCUCACCUCCUCUGACUGUGUCCUCGGUCCGUUUCCAGAGGGAGGGGCAGUCUCCAGAUGAGAUGAUAAAGCCUAGGCACGCAGAAAGGAAGUGGAAUCAAACACGGUAAAACAAUGCCGAGAGCAAAGGAAAGAAAACAAAAACCCAAGGGGGCUGCCCCUUCGGUGGUUCCCAUUCUUCAGAAGUUCCUGAAGACCUACCAGAAGCAUUGCAUACAGUCUCGGACCUCCAUGUGUCCAGCCAUCCAAAGGGACCUAAAGAGCAGCAUUGACAGAGAGCAGUUCCUCAGGAAGUUUAUGCUUGUGAGAGCUGGAAAUUCCGCAGUAAGCACUUUACCUGUCUCCUUGGAGCCUCUGCUUAUGACGAUCCGAGAUGAGAGCUACGCUCUGGCCAAAGAGAUCUGCAUCUGGGGCCUUCAGCUGACGAACCCGGAGAUCGCCAGGCUC
rnacentral:lncRNA from 1 species